AACGUAGGAGACGAGCGUUAUCCGGAUUUACUGGGCGUAAAGCGUGUGCAGGCGGUUCGGCAAGUUGGAUGUGAAAUCUCCCGGCUCAACUGGGAGGGGUCGUUCAAUACUACCGAACUUGAGGACAUCAGAGGAAGGUGGAAUUCCGGGUGUAGUGGUGAAAUGCGUAGAUAUCUGGAGGAAUACCGGUGGCGAAGGCGGCAUCCUGGACCGGCAUUGACGCUGAGGAGCGAAAGCCAGGGGAGCAAACGGG
rnacentral:rRNA from 1 species